UAGGGAAUCUUCCCUUUUGGACGGAAGUCUGACCGAGCAACGCCGCGUGAGUGAAGAAGGUUUUCGGAUCGUAAAGCUCUGUUGUAAGAGAAGAACGAGUGUGAGAGUGGAAAGUUCACACUGUGACGGUAUCUUACCAGAAAGGGACGGCUAACUACGUGCCAGCAGCCGCGGUAAUACGUAGGUCCCGAGCGUUGUCCGGAUUUAUUGGGCGUAAAGCGAGCGCAGGCGGUUAGAUAAGUCUGAAGUUAAAGGCUGUGGCUUAACCAUAGUACGCUUUGGAAACUGUUUAACUUGAGUGCAAGAGGGGAGAGUGGAAUUCCAUGUGUAGCGGUGAAAUGCGUAGAUAUAUGGAGGAACACCGGUGGCGAAAGCGGCUCUCUGGCUUGUAACUGACGCUGAGGCUCGAAAGCGUGGGGAGCAAACAGGAUUAGAUACCCUGGUAGUCCACGCCGUAAACGAUGAGUGCUAGGUGUUAGACCCUUUCCGGGGUUUAGUGCCGCAGCUAACGCAUUAAGCACUCCGCCUGGGGAGUACGACCGCAAGGUUG
rnacentral:rRNA from 1 species